GCUCCAGUGGCCUACUGGUUGUAGCGUCCGCCUCGGGUGCGGGAGGUCGUGGGUUCUAUCCCCGGUCGAGGCA